rnacentral:lncRNA from 13 species
CACCCACUUAGGACAAUUUUGGGGGGUUUUUUGUUGCCUGGAGCCUGUGGGGCUGGAGCAGGACUGGCGAGCUCCUUGCCCCCCCCAGGCUCGUCCAGCAGCAGAGGGUGCUCAUGCACUGCUGUGCAAAUCAUCCCUCUCCCUCAGCCAUCUUAGGGAAAUGUUUCCCUUCCCUGCAGUCUCCAUUUUAUGUUCCUGACGCAGAAAAUAAAAAGUGCUGGCGGGUGAGCAGGCACUUCCCAAUCCGGGAUAUGAAACAAUCCAGGGAUCCAAACUGCUCCAGCUUCACUGAUCCAACCAGCCAAGGAUGCUCAGAGAUGGACUCAGGUGUCUGUGGUCCCCUCCUGGUCCCUGCCUCUCUGUGCCCUGGGAUGAGCACAGCACAUCUCUCCCUUCCGUGAGGGUGUCUGCUGAGAACUUGAAGAAAAGCUUAACCAGGACAAGAGGAUGGAUUUUGAAUGUGCAGUGGAAUAGUCUGAACUUCCCAGAUGACAGAGAUAAGCAGGGACACACUGGUCGAGCGAUGCCAUCAGGAGCAUCCCUGGUGGAGUCACCAUCCCUGGAAGUGUUCAAAAAGUGUGGAUGUGGCACCUGAGGACGUGGUUUAGAGGUGAACACAGUGGGGCUGUGAAUUUGAUGAUAUUUAAGGUCUUUUCCAGCCUUAACGGUUCUGUGAUCCCCUGAAACGUGUGGCACCUCCCUAAAUUCCUCCUCACCUUCUCCCAAUGCCUCUUCCUGUUGCAGGCAGCGGUGGAAGCACAGAGAAGGAAAACCCCAAAUUUCUGAAAUCAAGUGUAAAGGGUGAUUAGAAAUCCUUGAGUGCACGAAAGCUGGAGGGGAGUG